rnacentral:rRNA from 1 species
UGGGGAAUAUUGGACAAUGGGCGAAAGCCUGAUCCAGCCAUGCCGCGUGUGUGAAGAAGGCCUUAUGGUUGUAAAGCACUUUAAGCGAGGAGGAGGGUACUGGUAUUAAUACUACCAGCUACUGGACGUUACUCGCAGAAUAAGCACCGGCUAACUCUGUGCCAGCAGCCGCGGUAAUACAGAGGGUGCAAGCGUUAAUCGGAAUUACUGGGCGUAAAGCGCGCGUAGGUGGUUCGUUAAGUUGAAUGUGAAAGCCCCGGGCUCAACCUGGGAACUGCAUCCAAAACUGGCGAGCUAGAGUAGGGCAGAGGGUGGUGGAAUUUCCUGUGUAGCGGUGAAAUGCGUAGAUAUAGGAAGGAACACCAGUGGCGAAGGCGACCACCUGGGCUCAUACUGACACUGAGGUGCGAAAGCGUGGGGAGCAAACAGG